UUUGGUUAAGUUAGAAAGGGCGCACGGUGGAUGCCUUGACACUAGGAGUCGAUGAAGGACGGGACUAACGCCGAUAUGCUUCGGGGAGCUGUAAGUAAGCUUUGAUCCGAAGAUUUCCGAAUGGGGAAACCCACCAUACGUAAUGGUAUGGUAUCCUUAUCUGAAUACAUAGGGUAAGGAAGACAGACCCAGGGAACUGAAACAUCUAAGUACCUGGAGGAAGAGAAAGCAAAUGCGAUUUCCUGAGUAGCGGCGAGCGAAACGGAACAUAGCCCAAACCAAGAGGCUUGCCUCUUGGGGUUGUAGGACAUUCUAUACGGAGUUACAAAGGAACGAGGUAGACGAAGCGACCUGGAAAGGUCCGUCGUAGAGGGUAACAACCCCGUAGUCGAAACUUCGUUCUCUCUUGAAUGUAUCCUGAGUACGGCGGAACACGUGAAAUUCCGUCGGAAUCUGGGAGGACCAUCUCCCAAGGCUAAAUACUCCCUAGUGAUCGAUAGUGAACCAGUACCGUGAGGGAAAGGUGAAAAGCACCCCGGAAGGGGAGUGAAAGAGAUCCUGAAACCGUGUGCCUACAAAUAGUCAGAGCCCGUUAACGGGUGAUGGCGUGCCUUUUGUAGAAUGAACCGGCGAGUUACGAUCCCGUGCGAGGUUAAGCUGAAGAGGCGGAGCCGCAGCGAAAGCGAGUCUGAAUAGGGCGUUUAGUACGUGGUCGUAGACCCGAAACCAGGUGAUCUACCCAUGUCCAGGGUGAAGUUCAGGUAACACUGAAUGGAGGCCCGAACCCACGCACGUUGAAAAGUGCGGGGAUGAGGUGUGGGUAGCGGAGAAAUUCCAAUCGAACCUGGAGAUAGCUGGUUCUCCCCGAAAUAGCUUUAGGGCUAGCCUUAAGUGUAAGAGUCUUGGAGGUAGAGCACUGAUUGGACUAGGGGUCCUCAUCGGAUUACCGAAUUCAGUCAAACUCCGAAUGCCAAUGACUUAUCCUUAGGAGUCAGACUGCGAGUGAUAAGAUCCGUAGUCAAAAGGGAAACAGCCCAGACCGCCAGCUAAGGUCCCAAAGUGUGUAUUAAGUGGAAAAGGAUGUGGAGUUGCUUAGACAACUAGGAUGUUGGCUUAGAAGCAGCCACCAUUUAAAGAGUGCGUAAUAGCUCACUAGUCGAGUGACUCUGCGCCGAAAAUGUACCGGGGCUAAAUACACCACCGAAGCUGCGGAUUGAUACUGAAUGGUAUCAGUGGUAGGGGAGCGUUCUAAGGACAGUGAAGUCAGACCGGAAGGACUGGUGGAGUGCUUAGAAGUGAGAAUGCCGGUAUGAGUAGCGAAAGACGGGUGAGAAUCCCGUCCACCGAAUGCCUAAGGUUUCCUGAGGAAGGCUCGUCCGCUCAGGGUUAGUCAGGACCUAAGCCGAGGCCGACAGGCGUAGGCGAUGGACAACAGGUUGAUAUUCCUGUACCACCUCUUUAUCGUUUGAGCAAUGGAGGGACGCAGAAGGAUAGAAGAAGCGUGCGAUUGGUUGUGCACGUCCAAGCAGUUAGGCUGAUAAGUAGGCAAAUCCGCUUAUCGUAAAGGCUGAGCUGUGAUGGGGAAGCUCCUUAUGGAGCGAAGUCUUUGAUUCCCCGCUGCCAAGAAAAGCUUCUAGCGAGAUAAAAGGUGCCUGUACCGCAAACCGACACAGGUAGGCGAGGAGAGAAUCCUAAGGUGUGCGAGAGAACUCUGGUUAAGGAACUCGGCAAAAUGACCCCGUAACUUCGGGAGAAGGGGUGCUUUCUUAACGGAAAGCCGCAGUGAAUAGGCCCAAGCGACUGUUUAGCAAAAACACAGCUCUCUGCGAAGCCGUAAGGCGAAGUAUAGGGGGUGACACCUGCCCGGUGCUGGAAGGUUAAGGAGAGGGGUUAGCGUAAGCGAAGCUCUGAACUGAAGCCCCAGUAAACGGCGGCCGUAACUAUAACGGUCCUAAGGUAGCGAAAUUCCUUGUCGGGUAAGUUCCGACCCGCACGAAAGGUGUAACGAUUUGGGCACUGUCUCAACCAGAGACUCGGUGAAAUUAUAGUACCUGUGAAGAUGCAGGUUACCCGCGACAGGACGGAAAGACCCCGUGGAGCUUUACUGUAGCCUGAUAUUGAAUUUUGGUACAGUUUGUACAGGAUAGGCGGGAGCCUUUGAAACCGGAGCGCUAGCUUCGGUGGAGGCGCUGGUGGGAUACCGCCCUGACUGUAUUGAAAUUCUAACCUACGGGUCUUAUCGACCCGGGAGACAGUGUCAGGUGGGCAGUUUGACUGGGGCGGUCGCCUCCUAAAGUGUAACGGAGGCGCCCAAAGGUUCCCUCAGAAUGGUUGGAAAUCAUUCGUAGAGUGCAAAGGCAUAAGGGAGCUUGACUGCGAGACCUACAAGUCGAGCAGGGACGAAAGUCGGGCUUAGUGAUCCGGUGGUUCCGCAUGGAAGGGCCAUCGCUCAACGGAUAAAAGCUACCCCGGGGAUAACAGGCUUAUCUCCCCCAAGAGUCCACAUCGACGGGGAGGUUUGGCACCUCGAUGUCGGCUCAUCGCAUCCUGGGGCUGUAGUCGGUCCCAAGGGUUGGGCUGUUCGCCCAUUAAAGCGGUACGCGAGCUGGGUUCAGAACGUCGUGAGACAGUUCGGUCCCUAUCCGUCGUGGGCGUAGGAAAUUUGAGAGGAGCUGUCCUUAGUACGAGAGGACCGGGAUGGACGCACCGCUGGUGUACCAGUUGUUCUGCCAAGGGCAUAGCUGGGUAGCUAUGUGCGGAAGGGAUAAGUGCUGAAAGCAUCUAAGCAUGAAGCCCCCCUCAAGAUGAGAUUUCCCAUAGCGUAAGCUAGUAAGAUCCCUGAAAGAUGAUCAGGUUGAUAGGUUCGAGGUGGAAGCAUGGUGACAUGUGGAGCUGACGAAUACUAAUAGAUCGAGGACUUAACCAUAUAA
rnacentral:rRNA from 1 species